AAAAGAAAAGAAAAAUCAUUAAUCCAAAUACAGACUUAGGUUUAUAAAUGUUAACAAAAAUAUUGAAUAUGACAAUCUAAAAAAUCUUAAAAAUUAUCAACCAUUGGAGUAAUUAACAAUUCCUAAAUAAUUUAAAAAUAUUACGUUAAUUCAUAAACUUCCAAUAUGAUUUGUCAAUAAUAUAUGUUCAAAUAAAAAUUAAAAAAAACUAUUUUGGAAUCAAUUCAACUAUAAUGUUAGAGUUACUAUUGAUGUAGACAUUUUUUUAACGAAAAAAUCUCAAUUGAUUAAUGGCAGUGCUAAAAUUCUUGAAUUGAAAAUUAUUCAGAUUCAGUUAAAUAUGUAGAUCAUGUAAUCAAGUAAAUCUAUACUAUCUAUUUUUAAAUUUAUAAAAUAUUUCUUAAUCUAAAUUAAAAAGCUAUAGAGUUUGCCAUUGGUUAAUGGUAGAAACAUCGGAAUAUCAGAAAGUUUUGCUGUUCUGCCCGUGCGAAUAAACCGGGUUAAACCCGUCGGGUCGGAACAUACAUAUAUAUACAUAUAUCUGUGUGUAUGUGCAGCGUCUUUCGCUCUUCUCUGUUUCAAUUGAAGAAGAAGAAGAAGAAGAAGAAGAUGGCAACAUAUUUUCUUACUUCCUCCAUGUCUUCCCCUUCUCUCCUGAAGUACCCAGAAACGAAUUCCAUGGCAGCGAUUGGAUUUCUCUCUCACUCAUCCAAAUCCCACCUCGGUCUCUCUCUCCGGGAGGUCAAAACUAGAAAGACAAUAUGUUUCUUUUCUGGCUUUCUCUCUCUUUCCAUCACUAGAAAACAGCGGAGGAAAUCAUUUCAAGAUGAAAUCUUCAAUACCCAUAUCUUUCUUUUCUGAUUUCUUUGCUGGUUUGGUGAUCUUGCCUGAUAUUACUUGGUUUCAUUUCCUGAUUAUUUGGUGGGCUUUCAGAGUGUAUAAACACAGUUUAUCCUUUUCCCCUUGUCAACUAGUGGUAAAUUUUCAUUUGAAAAGCUUGCUAGUAAAAUGACUUGGAACCUUGUGUCACAAAUUUCAUGUUCUUACUUGGAAUAUACUAUUUGUCAUAUUGGGUACUUUUCAACCAUUAGGGUGACAAGGUGCAGAGGUCACAAUAGUUGGAUCCUUAUAUAACCACCGAAUUGUUUGCAAAUUUCAUCCUCGUUGAUUGAAAAAGCUCAACUCGAGCUUUGACUUAUCAUCAUUGCAUGAGCCUUAAUUACUUAAUGAAAGAAAAUUUCCAUAAUAAUUUUUUUUUUGGCAUUCUCUUGCAAUGCUGAAACAAACUUACAUAUAUGCUUCUUUGUGGCAGUGCGAUCAGUGGCAGCCCCUUCAGAAACCACUACUGGGUUUGAUGAGAUGGUUUCUGGGACCAAGAGGAAAUAUUACAUGUUAGGCGGAAAGGGAGGUGUUGGGAAGACAAGCUGUGCCGCAUCACUUGCUGUAAAAUUUGCUAACAGUGGUCAUCCAACGCUUGUUGUUUCAACUGACCCUGCUCAUUCGUUGAGCGACUCGUUUGCCCAGGUUUAACAUAAUUUUCUGCUGCUCCUGUUCAAGUCAUUAUUCUUUAUUCAAAUGUUAGAUUCUUUUAAUUGUGGCUUCCAUGUAAGAGUUUCAUUAUGUGCACAUGCAUGCUUACUAGGAUUUGACUGGAGGGACACUAGUGGCAGCCGAAGGACCUGAUUUUCCAUUGUGUGCCCUUGAGUUGUGUGGAAUAGUGAUUUGUGUUUUUUCUUUUUAUGGUGAUUAUUUAGCUGUCAAGCUUAGGUAGUACCAUAGUAUGUAAAUCUCUGCUUGUUCUCAUUAUGAUGAACUUCGUGUCACAUGUAUUAAGAUUAAACGCAACUAUAUAACAGAUAAACCCUGAGAAAGCUAGGGAAGAAUUUCGCAGUGCAAGCCAGAAAAAUGGGGGAACUGGAAUCAAAGAUUUUAUGGAUGGCAUGGGCCUUGGAAUGAUUGUAGACCAGGUAAAGCUUUACGUGUAUUCAUACAUAUUGGAAAUUGAGAUCCAUUAUCAUUCCCUGAUUAACUCGAAUUAAGAAAUUAAUGUCGUAAAUGGUCUAGAUAUGUAAACAUUCUGAUGGUCAGUCUGUUGGAUGAAUGGCGGAUUUCUUUCUCUUUUUUUUUAUGUGAAUAAAGUUAAAGGACAGGAUAUUUACUCUCAUAUAACUUGAUGACUUGGUUUUUGGUAAUUGCCAAGUCCAUACUUGUGUUCACUUGCAAGUUGCAACUACAACAUGCACAUUUGUUAUUUUUUUUAGCACUAGUAGUAUAUUCAAAGUAAUGACUUUCAGCAAUUAUGUUUAAUUGUCUCGCUAUAUUUGACGCUUUGAUUAUUUCUCUCACAUUCUUUCUGUUAGAAUGCCUUGCUAGGUUUCUUUAUUACAAAAAAUCAAAUGUCAAUUUGCCUAUAGCUUCAUUUUGAUACUAAUUCUUGUUGAUAAUUUGUUCACCUUUAAAUGUUAACUUAAAGUUAGGGGAACUAAAGCUGGGAGAGCUGAUGGACACACCUCCUCCUGGAUUGGAUGAAGCAAUUGCAAUUUCCAAGGCAUGUGUAGACUCCUUGGCCUUUAAUGAGUUUUCGUUUAAUGUCUUUAACGUCUAGGGUUUCACUAGAGAAUAAAAGCUUCUUGUGUUUUUUGCUAGAAAGUGAAAGCCAUGUAAGCAUGCUAAUAUGGGUUGUAUAAAAAACAUGGCUUUCUUGCACUUUACACCAAUUUCAUGCUAAACAAAUGCAGACAAGUUUUUAUCUUUUUCUCUUUCUGCAUUUUCAAUCACUCUCAUCUUGAUCAAUUCAACCUAAAGGAAGCAUCUAUUUGUUGUGGCCAUGCUUGAGAAGUAUUUUUCACAUUCAGAAUCGAAGCCUUCAGACCGUUAACUUAUGCAAACUAUUACAUUGACUGAUUUUGUUGCCUCACUUCAACCUUUUCAACUCGUGAUUUGUCAGUCCAUGUACAUCUUUGGCGUCUCAUUAAUCUUCAUGUCCAUAUCUAUCUAGCUUAUCCAAAUUAUAAUGCCGUCACCUCACGUUCUAAAAAUGUCACUCUCAAGUUGGUGGUACUUUUUCCAUUUUCUUGUUUCUUUUUAACUGGCUUACUUUUAUCAAGCAUGAGCCUUUUUUCAGAAUGCCUAUAUCAAUUUUUCCCCGUGCCAAGUCCUGAGCGCUAUAGUUGUACAAGCAAAGAAACAUUGUUUCUUCUUUAUCUGGAUGUCUUUCUUAUUCCCUCACCUGGUUGUUACCACUUAAUGUACUGGUUGCACCAUUACAGAUCAAGCAUUCCUGUGAAUCGACAUAUGUUGAAACAUGUAUUAUGUGCAUUAAUGUUAUGUACCUAAAAAAAUACUCUGAAAACUAGUGUAUUAUAUAGAUUCGACUUUUCUGUGGCGUGGGCCCUCCUCCUUCAAUGAAUCUGAUCCAUAUUUUAUGUUUUUUGGGCAUUUUUCGGGAUAGGUGUUCUUGGAACGUAGAAUCGAUGCCAUACAAUCCUAGCGUCCACUGUCUUUCAUUAAUUGACUCUUUUGCUCUCUUUGUUGCCUAUUUCAGCUUAAGCAGAAGAUAGCUUCGGCGACUUCAGCCAUCAAAUCCGUCUUUGGACAAGAAGGAACCCAACAGGAUGCUGUAAGCCUGAUGUCUCAUGGAGUCUAUGUUGUAUUUUGUUGUAACAGAAAGAACUCAUAUACUUGGUUUUUACUUUCUUGUAGGCUGACAAGUUAGAGCGUUUAAGGGAGAGAAUGGUGAAAGUAAGAGAGCUUUUCCGUGACACGGAUUCAACAGAAUUUGUCAUUGUGACAAUCCCCACGGUAAUGACCUGUAGAUUAUAUAGGCCACUACUCAUUUUACUUGUCUGCUAAAGACAUGUUUGGAUGCUCUUGUAACUGUAGUGGAAAUAAAGCCUAUUAUGUUAACUUCAUGGAGAACCACAGCAUGUCUGUCCUGGGGAAGGUGUUAAAUAUUUGUGGAUACAUAACGUAUCUGACGUUGCAUAUCAAGAUUUUGGUCUUCCGAUACUGUUAUUUACCAAUAUCUCAGCCUGUAUUUUCUGAUAUUAGCCAAUAUAUGGCCGUAUCACCGAUACCAAUACCAUUCCUAUACCGCAAUUUAAAACCCCGAUCCUGAGACAUGGGUCCAUUCAGAUUGCUUUUCCUUUCUCUGUAGAAUAAUAUAACCGACCCUUUGCUUUUAUGUUGGCUAAAUUAUUGACAGAGAGCUCAUUUGAAACCAAAUACAUCUUGUAUGUCUUGCGAACUAAAUAGAAAUCCUUAUAGGAUAAAAAACUUUAGCUGUUAAAAACUGAUCCUAACUAGUUACUAGUAAAAACAUAAUCUAGGGCUUAUAUCUGUUCUACUGGGAAUCACAAACUAGUACCUCAAAACUGACGACUCACUUUAAACUAUUCUGUUAAGGUGAUGGCGGUUAGUGAGUCAUCAAAGUUGCGUGCUUCCUUGAAAAAGGAGAAUGUUCCUGUCAAGAGGCUUAUUGUUAAUCAAAUCCUUCCCCCAUCUGCCUCGGACUGCAUAUUUUGUGCAAUGAAAAGGAAGGUAAAAUCAAUUACUUAUAUCUCACUUCCAGAUUAUGUCUUUGCUAGAAGUGUGUGAUAACUUUGACCAUUAUAUAUGGAUGAACUGACUGUAGUUCUGAAUACUACCCGAGGUUGAUAUUAAUGCUUUGUUGAAUUUUUAUUCAUUACUAUCUUGCUGUCAGAUUACAAAUCUUCAUUAAAAGUGUGAGGAAUUUGACUAUCGUAUAUCGUAGUGUUACGGGAAUUAAUUUGAUUUUUGUAACUAUAAACUUUUCCGGGAAAAGACUGACCUAUUCUUGAGCAACACAAGUGAAACACCUUGGUUUUUGAAAUUUACAGAUUAACUUUUCUUUUGUGAGGUAAAAUCUAAAAGUCCCAAUUUUUUUAUUCAAAUGUUGCAGGAUCAGACGCGUGCUCUUGAUAUGAUCUGGAGUGGACCAGAAUUCUCGGACUUGACGUUGAUUCAGGCACCACUUGUUGAUGUGGAGAUUAGAGGUGUUCCAGCUCUGAAGUUCUUAGGGGACAUUGUUUGGAAAUGAAAAUCUGCUCAUUAUUAGGCUCAAAGUUUGGUAACUUUUUUCUCCAACAUUUUGAACUGACUUAACUUUGAAACUUGCAUAAUUUAGCAAAAUCAUUUUAUCAAGGAAAAAGGAAUACUCUGCAGUUUUGUUGUUUUACUCUGUAACCAUAGUUGCCGUCAGUAUAGGAAAGGGAAGAAGGAAAUUGGACAACGUAAUGAAAGGGGAAAACGAGAAGUGGAGAAACGACUAAGAUUCAAUUGAGAAACUCUAUAGGAACUCUAGUAAAAUAAAAGAGAAAUUUUUAGAAAACUCACUAAAAACCUAAAUGAGUUCUUCAUUUUCCUGAAGUUUUGAGUCAAUAAUGUCGUGCUUUAUCAACAUUUCUCAAAUUACUCUUCUUGGACAUUUUUAAUACGCUUAGGACGAAGUUUUAAAAUAUUUUCUACAAAUAUUUCAAAAACCGACUUCAUAAAGUUUUCAGUCACCUUCCAAGUCAUUUCUCAAGAGUGUCGUCUCCCUUGAGUUUCUUUGAAGCUUCCGAAAAGUAUCCAAAUGGUAUCUAAAACAUUUCCACAAAGUAUCCAGCUUUCGAAGAGUGACCCGGGUACUAAUUCGCAAAAUAUAUCUUCUACUAUUUGUGCUUAAUACUAGAUUUAGAUCUUACUAUACAAUUGAUAUAUAUGUUUUAACAUUUCUCUCAAUUGAAUGACCACAGGUAUAGCAUGGAGCCGUGGACUCGUAUACUAAUGACAAGAACCUGUUUGUCUUUACAAUCACCCUUUUAAAUCGGAUCAACACUGAUUUUGCAGACACAGAUUCAGGUUAGAUGCGAAACCUUUGAUUCAUACAGUGAUCUCUGUACACAAGGAGGGCAUAUUAUGAAGUCUAUGGAAGAGAAAUAUUGUGUUACUUAAAAGUUUUUUUUUUUCUUUCUUCCUGUUCUUUUAACAAGAACACUACAAGUGGGAAAAAGGAACAAGAAAGAAAGAAAAUGUAGCUGUAGUGAAUCAAUGGUUACUUGCAAUUUUCUGUCUGAUUUGGUGAGACCAUGCAGAUAAAUGCAAAUAUGCGAUUGAGGCUUGUUUGGUUUGCUUAGGAAAAAAAAACCUUGGAGAGUAUUUAUGAGAACUUGGCAUGAGCAAGUUACUUUAGUGAAUUUUCUUUUUAACUGUUUCGAUAAAAUUUCAUAUUUUUUCGGUAUCGCUUGAUAUGGAGAGUUUGAAAAUGUAAGAAUUUUGUUUAAAUUUGAAAAAAAAAUCAAUUAAAGACAAAAUUUAACUAAUCUGCUGAGUAGAAAUGAUUUCCUUGUCUUUUGUAAACUUUUUUCUUAAAUUAGAUGAGAGUUUUUACAAAAUAAAUCGAAUAAGUAUAAAAUUUUAAUCAAACGAAAAAUAAAAAUUCCAAAGCAACUAAAUUUCUGCAAACAACACACCUCCAAACAGUGACACGAAGUCUUUAUUUAUUUAUUUUAAAAAAAGCAUAGAAUUAAAAAGAUAAAAAUAAAAGUUGGUUACCAAGAGGUACAUUAACAUUAUAUUUUGAACAGUAUAAUUGGAGAUCCACAGCUUUAAAUACACAGCCCAUAGAACUAUUUUCACCAAUUCAAUAAGGUAUUAUUGACCCACUACUUAGGUGGAUGAACAUAAUAAUAACUGUACAACACAAAUGCUACUGGAGGCCUACAAGCAAUGGUGCCUAAGAAUGAUUCAAAAACAAAAACAAAUCAGGAGGACAGGACCCCAAUUUUUGGAACUUGGAAAGUCCCAUAAUCAGUCCCAUAUUGUGGGAAUAAAUGAUAAAUCCUAUGUACCAGAAAAAAAUCACCCUGAAAAGUGCCUAAUAAUUUGAAUCUAUGAUGUAGAUGUACCGUGUCAUGCGAACUUCUAAGUACUGCAUUGUGCUUCCACUUUUGCGGAUUGGAAUACAAUGGCGUAAAGGUGGCUUGAACUCACUUCUUCCUUUGGAAGGUGACCAUGCCGAUGAAAGCUAUGGCACGACUGAUGACGCCUGCCAGGACAAGGAAUAAUAUACAGCCAUCCCAGUCAUGUAUAUUAUAGCCCAUUUUCAUGAGUGAACCACAACGAGUUAUAAUUCACACUCCAGAAUACCUGCAGUAGAAAGAUGACAAGUAGAAUAUAUUGUUGGAUUCAUAAUCUUACAAUAGGGGCAUACGAAAAACCAUAAAGACCAAUUCAACCGAACCAACCAAACUAGACUGAACCAGCCAGUUUUGCAAUUGAAUUUGUCUUUUUUGGUUCUAGAAUUAUAGAAAACCAAUCUUUUAGUUUGGUCCCUCUUUUAGAAGUUCAAUGCCAGCUUAUAACGAACACUAGACUUGAAUUUAGGUGGUUCGAUUUGGUAUACGAUAGUCAUGAGAGAGUAAUUUCUUGGCAAUGGGAAUGAUUUUUCACAUCUAUAUGUUAUGCAUUUUGAUAUUGAACGUAUGACAUCUUUUUUUU
rnacentral:lncRNA from 1 species